rnacentral:rRNA from 1 species
AUUGAACGCUGGCGGCAGGCUUAACACAUGCAAGUCGAGCGAGCGGCGGACGGGUGAGUAAUGUAUGGGAAUAUGCCUGAUGGAGGGGGAUAACUACUGGAAACGGUAGCUAAUACCGCAUACCAUCAGAUGUACCCAGAGGGGAUUAGCUAGUAGGUAGGGUAACGGCUUACCUAGGCGACGAUCCCUAGCUGGUCUGAGAGGAUGAACAGCCACACUGGAACUGAGACACGGCCCAGACUCCUACGGGAGGCAGCAGUGGGGAAUAUUGCACAAUGGGCGCAAGCCUGAUGCAGCCAUGCCGCGUGUGUGAAGAAGGCCUUCGGGUUGUAAAGCACUUUCAGCCGGGAGGCGUUACCCGCAGAAGAAGCACCGGCUAACUCCGUGCCAGCAGCCGCGGUAAUUC